CAGUAGCCGCGGGAAUACGUAGGUGGCAAGCGUUGUCCGGAAUUAUUGGGCGUAAAGGGCUCGCAGGCGGUUUCUUAAGUCUGAUGUGAAAGCCCCCGGCUCAACCGGGGAGGGUCAUUGGAAACUGGGAAACUUGAGUGCAGAGGAGGAGAGUGGAGUUCCACGUGUAGCGGUGAAAUGCGUAGAGAUGUGGAGGAACACCAGUGGCGAAGGCGACUCUCUGGUCUGUAACUGACGCUGAGGAGCGAAAGCGUGGGGAGCGAACAGGAUUAGAUACCCGUGUAGUCCCUGUCUCUUAUAC
rnacentral:rRNA from 1 species